GACGAACGCUGGCGGCGUGCCUAAUACAUGCAAGUCGAGCGAAUGGAUUAAGAGCUUGCUCUUAUGAAGUUAGCGGCGGACGGGUGAGUAACACGUGGGUAACCUGCCCAUAAGACUGGGAUAACUCCGGGAAACAGGGGCUAAUACCGGAUAACAUUUUGAACCGCAUGGUUCGAAAUUGAAAGGCGGCUUCGGCUGUCACUUAUGGAUGGACCCGCCUCGCAUUAGCUAGUUGUUGAGGUAACGGCUCACCAAGGCAACGAUGCGUAGCCGAACUGUGAGGUGGAUCGGCCACACUGGGACUGAGAACCGGCCCAGACUCCGACGGGAGGCAGCAGUAGGGAAUCUUCCGGAAUGGACUAAAGUCUGACGGAGCAACGCCGCGUGAGUGAUGAAGGCUUUCGGGUCGUAAAACUCUGUUGUUAGGGAAGAACAAGUGCUAGUUGAAUAAGCUGGCACCUUGACGGUACCUAACCAGAAAGCCACGGCUAACUACGUGCCAGCCGCCGCCGUAA
rnacentral:rRNA from 1 species